GUGGGCUGAUAUUUUUAUACAGCUAACUUUCACUGUCUCCUCUUUUUACAGUCGGAUGCAUACCCAUUUGGCUUUCUCAGAUUUUGGCGCUCUGAUCUCUCUUCUUCCUCUUCGAUUCCAUCUCCAUGGUAGAACGAUUGAAAAGAUGUUGGUAAAAUUGGAAGAAAACAACAACCUCAAAAGGCCUUCUGAGUAUAUCCGGUGCUUCUUAUAUUGUUCUGCGAAUUUAUUUAUAUUUUGUUCAGCCUCAGGUAACUCUUAUAGUGGACUAUUAACAUAUUUUCAUAGAUUCUUAGGUGCUUUCGUCUGUGAGAACUGAGAACUAGCUUAAGGUAAAGUACGAGUUAUUGGAUUUUCGAUGGUUUAUUGAUGCAUGCUUUACAGGACUUCUGUGCUAACAUAAGUUGAUUGUGUAUUAGGCAAUCGGAAUUCAAUGUUUUACAAAGCUACUUCAACAGCAUUGAAAUUAGCAACCUAAAGUUUCAAAUUUGUUUUGUUUUAUUUUUAAAUGUAGACAAAAAAAAAAAAACUUUUGCUUUCCUUCCCUCCUUUUUAUAGAGAUUUAGAAUGUUAUAAACCUACUUUGGGGAAAUUGGCGAAUGAAGUAUUUGAAAAAUUAAGGCGUUCUUUUGUAAAUCACGUGAUGUGGAUUUGCAGAACAAUCCUAAUGCCACUUUCGGAAAGUAUAGUUUGGGGUUGAGCUUGAGCAGAUAUGAAUCAACGUUUUUACUAAGUUGAGUUUUUUUUUGGUUUCAGGAUAAGUGUGUUAACCUGUAGUUUUGUUUGAUUUGCCGGCUUUUAUUAAAGGAAGUGUGCUAACCAGGUAUGAUUUUAUAUACUUUGAACUCAUGUUCUCCUUAUAUUUAUUUUGAUCACAAAGGUGUUUCCUUGAUUAGCAAGCUUUUAUUUUAAAAAAAAUUGUGCUAACCAUAUCUGAUUUUUUUUUUUUUUUAUUACAAACAACACAACGAUUGUGCUGAUAUGUACAACAAACUAGCUGGAGUACAACUGCCUCUGCUAUUACUUAUAACACAGAAUUGUGCUGGUAUGGACUGUCAUCUUACCAGCUAUAUCAACAUUUUUCAAAUUACACGAAAGAUCUUACAAGAAACUACAUUGGGAACACCAAGGAAUCAGCUAACUCGGAACAAAGAGUUGAGAUGCAUCUUUUUGGACGUACAAAUUUCAACAUUUGUGAAAAGUUUCAGUUUCAAACCUCCUAAUGUCAACUCUCUCACUCUAUUCGUCUAGAACAACAAUGGAAGAGGAGAGUUUAGUACCUUUUUCGUCACUGCUUUUUGGCUAAUGCAGUUUUCGAAGAAAAAGGAUGAGGUCUUUAAUGAUGAUAGAGAGCUUUCAUUUACUGGAUUCUCUGAUUUAGUUUAUCCACUUGAAAAUCAAUUGGCAUCUAGAAGAAAGAUCAAAUACAAGUCAAUUCAUCUGUUUGAUCAUAGAGAGCGAGACAAUAAUGUUUACGACGCCAAUCAGUGAACAUGAUUUUCGGUUACCCCCUUGUAGGAGAAAAGUUCAGAUCUUCUAGCAUAUGUAUUUGAAGCAGAAAAUUGAUUUAGAUGGAUGGAAAUGGCCUUGCAUUGACAUUGGAAAAUAUUAUAGUUCAGCAACAGAAUUACUUCAGCUUAACUUAUUCAUCAGUGUUAGAACCUUUUUUUGUGAUCUUGUAAUUACACAAAUAAUGCACACAACUAUACCGGGUAUAUGCCCGUGCAUUGCACGGGCCAUCUAGUAUAUAUAUAUAUAUAUAUAUAUAUAUAUAUAUAUAUAUAAGUAGUAGUAGUAGUGUACCAAACAUGGAAAGAACAAUCAAUAAAUAUUGACAUCUGAAGCCCAUUAACAAGAGGAACAAUCAAUAGAGGAUGGAAAGGGCGAUUUAAAUUAAAGGAUCAUCAACUCGACUCUUUCAGAAACUUUUCCUUCUAGUUGUCGCCAAGCCCGACUUCUUGAUCUUCGCUCAAGUUUGGAACUCUUCCUUGAAAAUGGUGAAUAAUUGCAAGGAAUAACAAUUAGUCUCUCAAGCGCUAAACAGUUUUCAAGAAGGGACAUUCUGCCUUG